GACGAACGCUGGCGGCGUGCCUAAUACAUGCAAGUCGAACGAACGGAUAAAGAGCUUGCUCUUUUGAAGUUAGUGGCGGACGGGUGAGUAACACGUGGGUAACCUGCCUCACAGCUGGGGAUAACAUCGAGAAAUCGAUGCUAAUACCGAAUGUGCUGAACAUCAUAAGAUGUACAAGUGAAAGACGGUUUCGGCUGUCACUGUGAGAUGGACCCGCGCUGGAUUAGCUAGUUGGUAAGGUAAUGGCUUACCAAGGCGACGAUCCAUAGCCGACCUGAGAGGGUGAUCGGCCACAUUGGGACUGAGACACGGCCCAAACUCCUACGGGAGGCAGCAGUAGGGAAUCUUCGGCAAUGGACGAAAGUCUGACCGAGCAACGCCGCGUGAGCGAAGAAGGCCUUCGGGUCGUAAAGCUCUGUUGUUAGAGAAGAACAUGGGUGAGAGUAACUGUUCACCCCUUGACGGUAUCUAACCAGAAAGCCACGGCUAACUACGUG
rnacentral:rRNA from 1 species